UGGGGAAUAUUGGACAAUGGGCGAAAGCCUGAUCCAGCCAUGCCGCGUGUGUGAAGAAGGUCUUCGGAUCGUACAGCACUUUAAGUUGGGAGGAUGCGCAGUAAGCGAAUACCUUGCUGUUUUGACGUUACCGACAGAAUAAGCACCGGCUAACUCUGCGCCAGCAGCCGCGGUAAUACAGAGGGUGCAAGCGUUAAUCGGAAUUACUGGGCGUAAAGCGCGCGUAGGUGGUUCGUUAAGUUGAAUGUGAAAGCCCCGGGCUCAACCUGGGAACUGCAUCCAAAACUGGCGAGCUAGAGUAGGGCAGAGGGUGGUGGAAUUUCGUGUGUAGCGGUGAAAUGCGUAGAUAUAGGGAGGAACACCAGUAGCGAAGGCGACCACCUGGGCUCAUACAGACACUGAGGUGCGAAGGCGUGGGGAGCAAACAGG
rnacentral:rRNA from 1 species